rnacentral:lncRNA from 1 species
AAGAAUUUUUCAAAUCAUCCACAUUAUUAGUAGUGUACUGACAUGACGGAUUAUUGUAGAAUUGAAUCCAGACAUUGUCAAAUAGCCCUGUAUUUAGUGCCGUGCCAAGCAAUCUAUCUGGAAAUGGACAUUGUGGAGCUGCUGUAAGGUACAUUUUUCUUCCAAGUUUGCUAUAUCUUUUUAAGUAUUGCGCUAAAUCUUCAUAGUAAAGAGAAGAUCCUAGUUCAAUAUCGAAAUCAAUUCCGUCAAGUCUCGCAUUUCCUAAAGGCCUAAACGACGAACGUCCGCCUAAAAAAUUGUUAUAUAAAUAACGUGCAACGUCCUUAGCGUCUUUUUUAGAAGCUAAUGAGUAGUUUCCAACGCCACCGCCCAUGGAUAGCAUAACUUUGACGCCUAAUUUUUGACAGAAUUUGAUUUGUGGGCCGAGGAUAGUGCAGCCAUUGACGGCGGGGUUACAGUGGCCAGCGAGAUUGAUUUCAGGGGUUUGGCCAUUACCGAAUUUGUUAAGGAAGGAUAAGUUGACAUAGGCGUAGUUGCCUGAGGC